rnacentral:rRNA from 1 species
GAUGAACGCUGGCGGCGUGCCUAAUACAUGCAAGUCGAGCGAACAGAUGAGGAGCUUGCUCCUCUGACGUUAGCGGCGGACGGGUGAGUAACACGUGGAUAACCUACCUAUAAGACUGGGAUAACUUCGGGAAACCGGAGCUAAUACCGGAUAAUAUAUUGAACCGCAUGGUUCAAUAGUGAAAGACGGUUUUGCUGUCACUUAUAGAUGGAUCCGCGCCGCAUUAGCUAGUUGGUAAGGUAACGGCUUACCAAGGCAACGAUGCGUAGCCGACCUGAGAGGGUGGUCGGCCACACUGGAACUGAGACACGGUCCAGACGCCUACGGGAGGCAGAAGUAGGGAAUCUUCCGCGAUGGGCGAAAGCCUGACGGAGCAAAGCCGCGUGGGGGAUAGAGGUUUUCGGAUCGUAAAACUCUGUUAUUAGGGAAGAACAAAUGUGUAAGUAACUAUGCACGUCUUGACGGUACCUAAUCAGAAAGCCACGGCUAACUACGUG